CUUGAGCUCUGAGGGGGAAGCAUUUGAUGGAGAGAUCUCACUUAGAACUGUGGUUUCAAGGUCUCUCUCUCCCUCUCUCUCUCUACUGACUAUGAAUCUCUGUAUUUGCUCCCAUCUGCUGCCAGAGGAAGCUUCUCUGAUGAUGACUGAAUAAGUUACUGAUAUCUCUGGGGUGACUUUCCGGAAUCAUCAUGUUUGAUGUUUGACCACCCAGAGGAAACCUCCAUGUUGCUUUGAAAUAAGCAGUGGUGGCAGCAGUAUUGUGGUACUUGACGUUGACUCGAAGGCCUCACGCCUCAAGGAAAGCACUCUACCACGGAGCUACAGCCCUAGCCCUGCUGGGUCUCUCACUGAGCCUGGGGCUCACCAGUUAACUAGACUGGCCCACUAGCAAGCCCAAGGGGCCUCCUGUGUCCCCCUCCUGGUGCUGGGAUUCUAGACACGUGUCACAGCAGCUGGAGACCCAGAUCCGGGCCCUCACGUCUGGGCCGUGAGCUCUUCACCCACUAAGUCACAUCCCUGCCACGGUGCUUAUGGUUUUCAGUUUUUAAAGACAAAGAAAGGAAAAAGGAAACAUAUUUUAUGACAAGAAAAUUCUAUGAAGCUCAAGUUUUGGCUGCUGUAAAUGAGGUUUUGUAGGAACAGGGCCACACUCAAGUACUCACGUGUCGUCAUAGAUGCUUUCUUGUCCCAGUUUCGGAGGUUAGCCAACCCUGGAACAGCCUUACGAAAGCUGCUUACAUUAAUUAACGACGUCAGGUCAUAAAAGUCUUGCUUCUUGGGGCACGGAAUAAGUUGAGAAGAAAGCUUCAUUUCAAAAGAAAGAAAAAGAAUCACGGUGUUGUGUGCAAUAGCUGCUUUCCCCUUCCCGAAGCCUUUGUUCGCAUGAGCUCACAGGCCCCAGACUUCAUACGUGAAGAAUGUAAGAUGGAAAAGCUCACUCUGACUGAUAGAGCCUACAGGAAGCGGGCUGUGGCCCAAAGUGAUGGUCUCCAUUUCCUUCUUCAGUCCCUGGGGCCCAACAAGUUGCCUCCUGUGGACAGAAGGCUGAAAAACUGCCACCAGGGCAUGUUCCCAUAGCCUGGAAUCUGGCACAGUUCCUGCUCUUAUCUCUGAGGCCUGACUAGCCUCCCCAGGCUAAAGAGAAAGGGAAUGGGGUUGGGAUCAGGUUGUCUCAGCCACUUAGUGAGAUGGCCUGGGUCCACCACCCCGUCCCCUGUAGUAGGGAUAAGCAGAAGGCUAGAGGCGUCAAGCCUAAUCUUGCCUGGUAUCAACGGCGGUUCGGCUUCAUCCUAAUCUUUGGAUGUUCCAGUCUCGCAUAUAACUUGAUGGAGUACUUCCUUGAUUUUAGCCCACAUCCAUCUUCCCUUCCACUGUAAAUUAUCUUUGGGUUCCUUAUAAUACAUCAUAUAAUAGAAAUACUAUGUAGAUGAUUGUUAUGCUGUAUUAUUUGGGGAAUACACAGGAAAAAAAUCAGUACAUGCUCAUGCAUUUUCCCCUCUGAAUACUUAAUUUAUUAUUACAUUUAUUUAUUCACUUGUGCUUGUGUGCAUGUGUAUGUAUGCUGUAUGUAUGUGUGUGUGCUGUAACUCAUGUGUGGAGGUCAGAGGACAGCAUGCAAGAGUUGGUAAUCUCCUUUCAUUGAGUCGAUCCUGGGAUUGCUCUCAGAGCCCUGGCCUUGGUAGUAAUCACCUUUACCCAACAAGCAUCUCCUCAGCCUGUUUGAAUAUUUAGCAUGUGCAGUUGCAUGAGCCUAUAGAUAAGGGCCUCAAAGACAUGGAAGACUAUCUCCAUGGUGCCCAUAGUCUUGCAGCGAGGAUACAGAGGAUACAGAGGAUGGGCUGCCGUAGGAAAGCGGAAAGGCCGCUGUUUUCAUUUCUUAUUUCAUUACUGUGACAAAAGUACCUGACAGAGUAGCUGAAGGAAGGAGGAUUAUUUUGGCUCACAGUUUGAGGGCACAGUCAGUCAUGGAGAGGAAGGCGUGGAGCUCGAGGCUGCUGUGGCAUCUGCAGCAGGAAGCAGAGAAAGAUGAAGGCUGGGGCUCAGCUCUCUUCCUCCUUUGUGUGAGGUCCAGGAGCCCAGCCAUGGGCUCAUUCAAGGGUGCCCACACUCAAGGACUAUCUCCCCAUGUCGCUGAGCCUCGUCUAGAUGUUUGUUUUCAAGAUAGUCUAGAUUUUGUCAAGCUGACAGUCACUAUAAACCAUCACAUCUGGAUGGAAACUUCAUUCCUUAAAAUGCUGACAGUAGCACAGUCCGAGAGUCUGCUAAAGAAUGUCCCGGCAUGGCCAGACAGCAGAAGGAAGGGUGCCUUUUCCUCGGGGACUGCUCUGCAAGGGAGGGAUUAGGAAGAUGGCCUAUGGAAAGAAAUCAGACCACACAAGCGAGCCCUGAGCACAGUGCUGGGAGAACCAUGUGCUCUCACAAGCAGGAGUCUGUUGUGAUCACUCUCAUUGGCUAAUGCAUCAUUGAGCAUCCACACACGCCAGACACAGCUGCACCAGCGUAACUUCAAAACCGUUGCAUUACAAGAAGUAAUAAUGAAAGUCUAAAGUUAAAAAAAUUCAAAAUUUAAGUAUUUGCCUUUUUACUUUAAAAUGCAAAACUAGAAGCUGGAGAGAUGGCUCAAGAGCAUUGGCUGCUCUUCCAAAACAUAAGUGAGAGAGAACAAGAGAGAGAGAAACAGAUAGAGACAGACAGAGACAGACACAGACAGAAAGGACACACACACACACUGAAUAUUGUGAGAACUUGAGACUCUGCCCCAGAACACGGACAUUCAAUUUCAGUGCCAUCUUUACUGUACAGAGUGGGGAGACAAGGCCUUUCACUUGUAGUUUAACUUCCUUUGCUCUGUCCUCUCCUGAAGACAGAGAUAAUGAUAUCUAACUGGCUCUUGUAUGCUGAGUAAGCGCACGCCUGGGAUUCAGUGGCUCUUGGCAUGGAUGACUUUCUCUCUGACAGGUCUUGUAUGAGGAAGUUAUUUUCUUUAAUGAAGAGUGUUGAUGAGUUGGGUUCUGGUUAGUUGAACUGCAGUAUGUAAAUCGACUUAAUCACCCGGCUCUGUCAGAUAAACACUGCGCACCUGGCAUAGUUUGGUUGCACACCUUUGUUUGGUUUUGAAAACUUCUUUCCCCUUAUGUGGCUUCUUCACAGAGUUGAUCCCUCAACUUGGUCUGCAGCUAGCAGGCAUUUUCAGUUAAAGUGCUUCCCCCCUCCUGGUUCCCCAAUCCCACCACCAGGAAGUUUACAAGAUUUUAAUUGCCAGACUUAACAGGAUCGGUUUAAGUGAAUCUGAAUCAAUGGCAGUUGGUGGAAGAAUGGGUUGGUUCCCUGUUUGUCUUAAUAAAGGAAGAAAAACAGAGUUGUAAAGAGAGAAGUCCAUACUAGAAAGGAAUCAGAGGUCACCUUCACCAUUUAUUGUCCUCCACACGUCAUCCUCUCAUGGACUGCAUUUGUCCACCAAGAGCUGAGAAGUGGCGGCAGAAUCCCCCGCCCUGGAUAUGAAGAGUAUCUGAGGAGAGAGGAAGACAGACUGGAGAGAUGAGCUUGUGUGUGAGAGGACUGCGUGCGUUGAGUAGCUGGGAAGGGCCGCAGUGCACUUUCUAGCAGACAAGGCUCGCAGAAGAUGCUGGCAUCCCAUUGGAAGCUCUCCAUCUGCUGAGUUGCUGUAACAACGUACACUGGGUUGGGCUCCUUAGAAACAACGGACAUUUAUUUCUCUGGAUGCUCGGAAAGAGGAGAUGAAGACACUAACAGAUUCAGGAUCUGGUGAGGCUUGCUUUGAGGUUCACAGAUGAUGGUUUUGAGCUGAGUCAGCAGGUGGUCUAAGGGGCCGGCUAGGUUCCCAGGGUACCGAUCCUGACGGGGACCCUGGCUAGGUUCCCAGGGUAUUGAUCCUGAUGAGGACCCUGGCUAGGUUCCCAGGGUACCGAUCCUGAUGAGGACCCUGUCCUUUAUACCCAGCUCUUCCUAGACAUCGUACUUCAAGACCAGCCCCUUAAGGUGGUGAGACUCCAACUUCUGAAUUUUGGUAGGGCAAAGCAUUCAGACAGCUAUCGAGGUCUUCGUGGGUUCUUGCUAGUUCAUGGAAUUAUUUUGGUUUGGGGCUGGCAAGAUGCUGAAUGGGUAAAAUCACUUGCAGCCAAGCAGACAACCCGAGUUUGAUUCCGGGAACUCACGGUGGUAGGAGAGAAUCAACUCCUUUAAGCUGUUCUCUAACUUCCAUACAUACACUUUGGCUCUUCUCUCUCUCUCUGUGUCUCUCUCUCACA